rnacentral:snoRNA from 1 species
UAUUUAUGAUAUGGACACGUCAAGAGUAGCCCAUUGAAUCACUCCCAUGCUUCGAGAAAUUGUUCGUCUUUUUUCGGAGUAAAUUCUGAGAUUUUCCUAUGAAUGG